rnacentral:rRNA from 1 species
GCCAGCAGCCGCGGUAAUACGUAGGGCGCAAGCGUUAUCCGGGAAUUAUUGGGCGUAAAGAGCUCGUAGGCGGUUUGUCGCGUCUGCCGUGAAAGUCCGGGGCUCAACUCCGGAUCUGCGGUGGGUACGGGCAGACUAGAGUGAUGUAGGGGAGACUGGAAUUCCUGGUGUAGCGGUGAAAUGCGCAGAUAUCAGGAGGAACACCGAUGGCGAAGGCAGGUCUCUGGGCAUUAACUGACGCUGAGGAGCGAAAGCAUGGGGAGCGAACAGGAUUAGAUACCCUGGUAGUCCAUGCCGUAAACGUUGGGCACUAGGUGUGGGGGACAUUCCACGUUUUCCGCGCCGUAGCUAACGCAUUAAGUGCCCCGCCUGGGGAGUACGGCCGCAAGGCUAAAACUCAAAGGAAUUGACGGGGGCCCGCACAAGCGGCGGAGCAUGCGGAUUAAUUCGAUGCAACGCGAAGAACCUUACCAAGGCUUGACAUGAACCGGAAAGAUCUGGAAACAGGUCCCCCACUUGUGGUCGGUUUACAGGUGGUGCAUGGUUGUCGUCAGCUCGUGUCGUGAGAUGUUGGGUUAAGUCCCGCAACGAGCGCAACCCUCGUUCUAUGUUGCCAGCACGUGAUGGUGGGGACUCAUAGGAGACUGCCGGGGUCAACUCGGAGGAAGGUGGGGACGACGUCAAAUCAUCAUGCCCCUUAUGUCUUGGGCUUCACGCAUGCUACAAUGGCCGGUACAAAGGGUUGCGAUACUGUGAGGUGGAGCUAAUCCCAAAAAGCCGGUCUCAGUUCGGAUUGGGGUCUGCAACUCGACCCCAUGAAGUCGGAGUCGCUAGUAAUCGCAGAUCAGCAACGCUGCGGUGAAUACGUUCCCGGGCCUUGUACACACCGCCCGUCAAGUCACGAAAGUUGGUAACACCCGAAGCCGGUGGCCUAACCCCUUGUGGGAGGGAGCUGUCGAAGGUGGGACUGGCGAUUGGGACUAAGUCGUAACAAGGUA